rnacentral:rRNA from 1 species
UACAGAGGGGGCAAGCGUUGUUCGGAAUUACUGGGCGUAAAGGGCGCGUAGGCGGCCUGCUAAGUUGAACGUGAAAUCCCCGGGCUCAACCCGGGAACUGCGUCCGAUACUGGCAGGCUUGAAUCCGGGAGAGGGAUGUGGAAUUCCAGGUGUAGCGGUGAAAUGCGUAGAUAUCUGGAGGAACACCGGUGGCGAAGGCGGCAUCCUGGACCGGUAUUGACGCUGAUGCGCGAAAGCCAGGGGAGCAAACGGG